rnacentral:lncRNA from 1 species
GUUUGGAACUCUCUUGCAUAUACCAAAAAAUGCGCUAACCCUUUCCUCAAAUUUCAGCUUUCUACCCCUCUUACAUAGCCUUUUGUUAAAAUGGGACUUCUGGUUUUCAGAUUUCAACAUUUGGGGUUGGAAACUUUCAGGACUGUGAUUUUGAGAUUUUAAUCUCUAGGGAUUUAGUUCUUUUAGGAUUUUGGCAUUCGGGAUUGUGGCUUUAAAUUGGGUGUGGUGCCACAUACCUUGGCACUCUGGGAAGCUAAGGCAGGAAAAUUGUGAAUUCCAGCCCAGCCUGGACAAAUUAAUGACUAGUGAGUUCUUGUCUCAAAAUAAUAAAUAAAUAAAUAUUUUUAAAAGGGCUGGAGAUAAGUUUAGUUAAAGGCCCUGAGUUCAAUUCCCAAUAUAUUAAAAAAAUUGAAUCUUUAAAGAUUAUGAUCAGCACCAAUAUGUGAAAUGUUUAACACUAUGGGGCACAUGGUAUUUUUUCAUAAAUGUUUGAUCCUUUUAUUUUUUUUCAUGAUUCAUGGGAAAACUACUGGUUUUCCUCCCACUGAUACCUCAUUUUUAUAAUGAGGAGGAGAUUUUGUAGUCAUUCAAGCAAUUUAAGAAACUAAAUUUAGACCAAAAGACUAAAUAUGGAUCUUCUUAGAAUUUUUUAAUUUAAUGUUUGAUAUUAAUGUGCUAUCUAGUCUUUCCAUUUUAUAAACAGCAAUUCUCAUAACAGAAAACUUGAAGGAUACAGAGAGGUAGAAAAAGAAGGGAAAGGAAAAGCCAUCCAAUUACAUCUAAGUGAAGAGUCCUGAGUUGUGAUUCCCGCAUUUCCUUGGUUUGGUUUCCUGCACACAAGCACAAGCCUGGUUAGCGGAAAGGCACUUCUGGAGUCCCUGUGGGUUAUUGGGAAUCCCUGCAGGUCUCCUUUCUACUCUCAUUGCUGCUGAUUUCACCAUCACCAACACCAAGUCUCCCUACCCAAGGUUUCUCAGCUGAAGAUGUGUUUUCCUCUGCUAAAGCAGGCUCAUGGAGAUAAGUGCGCCCACCAGGGCAGAAGAGGGUGGAGCUAGCCUACUUCCUUGUACAGCCCACAGAAGCCCACCGGAGCUCCAGCUGUCCCCGGGCUGGGUGAGGCCGCUCUUCAUGUCACACCCCACCGAGUCUGUCUCCUUUGCUGCUGGGCCUGGCACAGAGCUGUGCCCCACGAACGCUGUGCACCCCUCUGGCUGGAAAUGCGGGGUCGGUGAUGGCUGGCAAAGGCAUAAGGCCAGGAGCGCACGUCGCAGGUGGCAGAGUUAGAGGGGCCGGGUUCCCUCUUCCCUGGGUAUUUCCUUUCUCCCAGACCCAGCCCGCUCCGGAGAGGUGAGCACUGGGCCCAGUGCUCCUGCCUCCCCUCUGGCCUCUCCAGGACUUGUUUUCUUCUCUGUGCCUCAGCCCUAUCCCAGAG